CUUACUACCUACUGUAAGUCGCUCUGGAUAAGAGCAUCUGCUAAAUGACAAAAA
rfam:Salmo salar isolate Sally breed double haploid chromosome ssa10, whole genome shotgun sequence.